AUUGAACGCUGGCGGCAUGCCUUACACAUGCAAGUCGAACGGUAACGGGCCUUCGGGUGCCGACGAGCGGCAAACGGGUGAGUAAUACAUCGGAACGUGCCCGAUCGUGGGGGAUAACGAGGCGAAAGCCUUGCUAAUACCGCAUACGAUCUACGGAUGAAAGCAGGGGACCGCAAGGCCUUGCGCGGACGGAGCGGCCGAUGGCAGAUUAGGUAGUUGGUGGGAUAAAAGCUUACCAAGCCGACGAUCUGUAGCUGGUCUGAGAGGAUGAUCAGCCACACUGGGACUGAGACACGGCCCAGACUCCUACGGGAGGCAGCAGUGGGGAAUUUUGGACAAUGGGCGCAAGCCUGAUCCAGCCAUGCCGCGUGCAGGAUGAAGGCCUUCGGGUUGUAAACUGCUUUUGUACGGAACGAAAAGCCUUCUUUUAAUACAGGAGGGUCAUGACGGUACCGUAAGAAUAAGCACCGGCUAACUACGUG
rnacentral:rRNA from 1 species